GACGAACGCUGGCGGCGUGCCUAAUACAUGCAAGUAGAACGCUGAAGCUUGGUGCUUGCACCGAGCGGAUGAGUUGCGGACGGGUGAGUAACGCGUAGGUAACCUGCCUGGUAGCGGGGGAUAACUAUUGGAAACGAUAGCUAAUACCGCAUAACAGUAGAUAUUGCAUGAUAUCUACUUGAAAGGUGCAAAUGCACCACUACCAGAUGGACCUGCGUUGUAUUAGCUAGUUGGUGAGGUAACGGCUCACCAAGGCAACGAUACAUAGCCGACCUGAGAGGGUGAUCGGCCACACUGGGACUGAGACACGGCCCAGACUCCUACGGGAGGCAGCAGUAGGGAAUCUUCGGCAAUGGACGGAAGUCUGACCGAGCAACGCCGCGUGAGUGAAGAAGGUUUUCGGAUCGUAAAGCUCUGUUGUAAGAGAAGAACGAGUGUGAGAGUGGAAAGUUCACACUGUGACGGUAUCUACCAGAAAGG
rnacentral:rRNA from 1 species